rnacentral:rRNA from 1 species
UACGUAGGGGGCAAGCGUUAUCCGGAUUUACUGGGUGUAAAGGGGGCGCAGACGGCGAUGCAAGCCAGGAGUGAAAGCCCGGGGCCCAACCCCGGGACUGCUCUUGGAACUGCGUGGCUGGAGUGCAGAAGAGGAGAGUGGAACUCCAUGUGUAGCGGUGAAAUGCGUAGAUAUAUGGAAGAACACCAGUGGCGAAAGCGGCUCUCUGGUCUGUAACUGACGCUGAGGUUCGAAAGCGUGGGUAGCAAACAGG